rnacentral:rRNA from 1 species
AUGGCGGACGUCGAGUACCGCUGCUUCGUCGGCGGCCUCGCCUGGGCCACCGACGACCAGUCCCUCCAGAACGCCUUCUCCAAGUACGGCGACGUCAUCGACUCCAAGAUCAUCACUGACAGGGAGACGGGCCGUUCCCGCGGGUUCGGGUUCGUCACCUUCGCGUCGGACGAGGCGAUGCGCCAGGCGAUCGAGGCCAUGAACGGCCAGGACCUGGACGGCCGCAACAUCACCGUCAACGAGGCCCAGUCCCGCCGCUCCGGCGGAGGCGGCGGCGGCUUCAGCGGCGGAGGCGGUGGCGGCUACGGCGGCCAGCGCCGCGAGGGCGGCGGCGGCGGCUACGGCGGCGGCGGCGGUGGCUACGGAGGUGGCCGCAGCGGCGGCGGCGGUGGCUACGGCAGCCGUGAGGGCGGCGGCGGCUACGGCGGCGGCGGCGGCGGCUACGGCGGCAGCCGCGGCGGCUCCGGCGGCGGCAACUGGAGGGAGUGA